AUACGGAGGGUGCAAGCGUUAUCCGGAUUCAUUGGGUUUAAAGGGUGCGCAGGUUGGAAAGUAAGUCAGUGGUGAAAUACUGCCGCUCAACGGUAGAACUGCCAUUGAUACUGCUUUUCUUGAGUAUGGUUGAGGUAGGUGGAAUGUGUUGUGUAGCGGUGAAAUGCAUAGAUAUGACACAGAACGCCGAUUGCGAAGGCAGCUUACUAAGCCAUUACUGACGCUGAGGCACGAAAGCGUGGGGAUC
rnacentral:rRNA from 1 species